CAUGGCCAUAAUUAUUCCGUUGGUUUUUCUCUCACACAGGGCUUGGCCUGCAGAGAUAGGAAAAUGAGACAGCGAGACUCCACUUCCGGGUUCUCAUGUAUUAAUCUCCUUUUGGGGGAAGUGAAAUUUGUCCAUUGAAAUCAAUGGGGGAGUCCAAGAUUUCACCAUAACUUUUGAGGAACUAGGGUGUACAGUCCUGAACAAAAGGUAGCAGCGGAAUGAAUUUUUAGCCAUUUCAAACUCAGAUCCAUUUUUAAAGUUUGCAAAGAUUCGGAAAAAUAGCACCCCCCCCAAAAAUCAAACCCAAUGUAAAUGCAGCCCGUUAUCCCACAUCGCACCAUGCUUGUGUCUGAGAGUGCCAACGACAGCCCCGCAGUUACAGCCAUUGUGGGCUGGGGUUAGACUGCGAGUGACUUAAUUCUUCAGUAUAAGAUAAUGCAAGUUUAUUGCGGUUCGGCUGUACGACCACGGCUGGAAGAAUCGCGUAGUCCAGCGCUGUUAUUCCAUGCUGAAAAUGGGAGACUGGACUGAGCCUGAGAGAAUAUCAUAGACGAGCACUACCGUGAUAUUCCCGUAGCGCCGACGGGGGCCCGUGACUGCGAGGGAAACUUAGGCCAAGGCAGCAGUGUAGAGAUGGGCUUGAGACCUCAGAAAACAUCACUUAAAAUUGCCGCAGAAUCAAUGUAGUUGCAUUGUGUCCGCCGACCGGUUUCCUCUGUCAAGAUACAAGAACUAAGAAAAAGCAUUUCUGUCCUUGCCGAUAUCUUAUUUAUUUAUAAUUUAUUAAAAGCUUUUGUAUGCCGUCCUAUUAUACAAGAUCUCAGAACGGCUUACAAUAUGUAAUGUUCUCUUUUUGUAGGACAUGACUGCUUUGCCAAAAUCCUGUCUUUUUCUCUGCACUUUUCCCCAUUUCGGCCUGGGCGUGACACGGCGAGCUAUCACGAGAACGAACUUCAGCCCCGCAUUUCAUUCUAACUGGAUGCCUCGAUUUCGAGAGGGAGACGCUCGCCCGGUCACAUGCCCAAAUCCGCAGUGGGCGUGGCGAUGUGUAAGACGUGUCUCGUUGUGCUGCUCUGUCAUCUCCAGGUUCCCAUCGGGAAAUCAUGUUUAAAUAACCUUAGGGACGAGGGUUGACAAAAACUGAGCACAACUAUCAAGGAUAAGACAUUUUGGAGGGAAUGCAUUCCUGAGUCUGAGAUAAUAUGAUGGCAAAUAACAACAACAAUGCAUACAAGAGUCUCUUCAUUUAGAUUGCAAACCAGGAGUCUUUAAACAUUUCCAUUCCUAGAUCAUUUUCCCUUUUUAUGUUUAAUUUUUUAUGCUUGCUGGUUCCCUGUUAACAUAUUAUUGAUAUUUAACAUAAAACGUUAUGUUCAUGGAAUUUUCCUAUCCUUUUUAAUUCCUAUUUUCUUCUUGACAUUUUAUUAUUGUUUUUUUUUCAAAAUAAUAAUGGGUAAUAACAAAUAUGUGUGACUAUUUCUUUACAGCCUUUUUAUUAUUUCUCUAUUUAUCCAAGCAAGCUCAUCUGAUAAACUUAAGACUCAUCAUACUAAUAGUCACACCAUAGAGUUCCAUAUGUCAAGUAUUAUUCAUAGGAUCUUUCAAAGCUGGGCAACACUUGGGAAAUCUAUGGCCAACCUGACUAAAUUGUACUAGUUUUAUCCGAGUUGUGCCCUUGAAACUGGCUUUCCUUUCAUUUAGAAUUUUUCUAAUUUGUAUAGCUGUUUGCUUGGCUAAACCUGCUGCAACACCAACCUAUGAUGUAUUCAUGGUGCAGCCAUAGUACAGAUUUCAGUGAAACAAAACAAAUCCAUAACAAAGAAAGGAAGUCUUUUAACUAUCAAAAGGAUGUGAUGAAUCUAUUUACAUUGGUGGACUUCAAUCAAAAAGUUGAUUUUUACAUUGGAUCAGUUAGUGUGUCCUCAUUAUACGUUUUGUCAUUUUUAGUUUUGUAUGCAACUAUCCAUAGCUAUUACUGUUAUGGCUGAAUGGCAAUACUUGACAUGGCAAAAUUUGUUAGAAUUGAAGUUUGGCCUUGUCACUUUCACAGCUUCAGAGUCUCCUUUGUAUUGAAAGUACUUAUAGAGGCCGAUUAGAUAUAUCAUCCUAUGAUCUGCAUUUAUAUAUACUUAUUAUUGGUGAUCAAAUGGGAAAUACAGGGUCAAAUAGGAAUAGAAUAGGGAACUGGACUAUCCUGUUUUGCCUAAUCAAUGGAUUACCAUUCUAAUGUUUCUGUUUAAAGUGCCAAUGGAUCUUAGGUUACAUCUUAUUCUGGAAAAAAUGUUUGUUCUGUGUUAAUUGGAUUACACAAGAUCUUUAAUAAGAUUCUGUCUAAGUCAGCCAAAGAAAUCAAAAUUUUAGAAAAAAAGACUGGAAAAUAUUUUCUACCACUCAAUAGGAAUUCUAUCACUACAAUAGGAAUUCUAUCAUUAUAUCAGUAAUUCUAUCUAUUACUGUGUAUCAAACUAAAUAGCGAGGGUCUCAUAUCAAAAUUUACACCUGUUCAGAGAGGUGCUAGAAAGGGCUAUGUUUUGGCAUCUCAUUUGUUUAACCUAUACUUAAAUGACUUUGUCCCAGGAUUAUGUAAUGUUACUACGUAAUGUUUCUUUGCGGUGGCGCCCAGAUUAUGGAAUGUGCUCCCCAGAGAGAUUUGCCUGGCACUGAGUUUGUAUUCUUUUCAGCACCAGGUUAAAACCUUUUAUUUAACUGUUAUUUUAA